UACGUAGGGGGCUAGCGUUGUCCGGAUUUAUUGGGCGUAAAGAGCUCGUAGGCGGCUCAUUGCGUCAACCGUGAAAACUUGUGGCUCAACUACAAGCUUGCGGUUGAUACGGGUGGGCUGGAGUUCGGUAGGGGAGACUGGAAUUCCUGGUGUAGCGGUGAAAUGCGCAGAUAUCAGGAGGAACACUGGUGGCGAAGGCGGGUCUCUGGGCCGAUACUGACGCUGAGGAGCGAAAGCGUGGGGAGCGAACAGG
rnacentral:rRNA from 1 species